rnacentral:rRNA from 1 species
AGAGUUUGAUCCUGGCUCAGAUUGAACGCUGGCGGCAGGCUUAACACAUGCAAGUCGAACGGUAACAGGGAGGAGCUUGCUUCUUUGCUGACGAGUGGCGGACGGGUGAGUAAUGCUUGGGAAUCUGGCUUAUGGAGGGGGAUAACUACGGGAAACUGUAGCUAAUACCGCGUAAUAUCUUCGGAUUAAAGGGUGGGACUUUCGGGCCACCUGCCAUAAGAUGAGCCCAAGUGGGAUUAGGUAGUUGGUGGGGUAAAGGCCUACCAAGCCGACGAUCUCUAGCUGGUCUGAGAGGAUGACCAGCCACACUGGAACUGAGACACGGUCCAGACUCCUACGGGAGGCAGCAGUGGGGAAUAUUGCACAAUGGGGGGAACCCUGAUGCAGCCAUGCCGCGUGAAUGAAGAAGGCCUUCGGGUUGUAAAGUUCUUCGGUGAUGAGGAAGGUGUUUGUUUUAAUAGAGCAAGCAAUUGACGUUAGUCACAGAAGAAGCACCGGCUAACUCCGUGCCAGCAGCCGCGGUAAUACGGAGGGUGCGAGCGUUAAUCGGAAUGACUGGGCGUAAAGGGCACGCAGGCGGUGACUUAAGUGAGAUGUGAAAGCCCCGAGCUUAACUUGGGAAUUGCAUUUCAUACUGGGUCGCUAGAGUAUUUUAGGGAGGGGUAGAAUUCCACGUGUAGCGGUGAAAUGCGUAGAGAUGUGGAGGAAUACCGAAGGUGGAGGCAGCCCCUUGGGAAUAUACUGACGCUCAUGUGCGAAAGCGUGGGGAGCAAACAGGAUUAGAUACCCUGGUAGUCCACGCUGUAAACGCUGUCGAUUUGGGGAUUGGGCUUUAAGCUUGGUGCCCGUAGCUAACGUGAUAAA